UUAAACACUGCCUACAUACUGUA
rnacentral:miRNA from 1 species